rnacentral:rRNA from 1 species
GACGUAGGAGGCGAGCGUUGUCCGGAUUCAUUGGGCGUAAAGAGCGCGCAGGCGGCUUGGUAAGUCGGAUGUGAAAUCCCGAGGCUCAACCUCGGGUCUGCAUCCGAUACCGCCCGGCUAGAGGUAGGUAGGGGAGAUCGGAAUUCCUGGUGUAGCGGUGAAAUGCGCAGAUAUCAGGAGGAACACCGGUGGCGAAGGCGGAUCUCUGGGCCACUACUGACGCUGAGAAGCGAAAGCGUGGGGAGCGAACAGG